rfam:Smithella sp. SDB scaffold-1625, whole genome shotgun sequence.
CGCAUGUCAUGGCAACAUGCCGUGUGAUCGGGCAGGAGUCAGCAGAGGCCAUAGUAGGC